AGGUCCGUAGCUCGAACGGCUAGAGCACCGGACUCCAAAUCCGGGGGUUGCAGGUUCGAAUCCUGCCGGGCCUG
rnacentral:tRNA from 1 species